AAAUAUAUUUACAUUUUAUAGGAUUGUUCCCUGUUUGUCAGUAUACAGAGUAAUAUAAAUCAUGGUCCAUUUGGAGAAGUAUAUCGGUUGGUACAGAAUGGGUCAAAACCCUUUAAUAUAACAGCCCAAUCUCUAGGCUAUCUCUUAGAACCACCUUCCAUUUCAUUAUCGGAAUUUGAAUAUCUGCAGCCCGAACUCUUCAGUCACUCGCUCAAGUCGGGUCAAACAAUAUACGGUAUGAUAUUCAAACCGCCAUUUAUGCAGAGCAAUAAGAAAUAUCCGACCGUUCUAACUAUCUAUGGUGGUCCGGAAGUACAAUUAGUUACUAAUACAUAUAAGGGCAUGAGGCAUUUGAGACAGCAUCUGUUAGCCCAAGAAGGAUACAUAGUGGUAGCGGCCGACUGCAGAGGUUCGAGAAAUCGGGGAAUCAUCUUCGAAA